rnacentral:lncRNA from 1 species
CCUGGAUAGAGAUAACACCUUUGUUAUCUUUCUGAGAAUCCACCUGCCCUACUUUAGCAGAAAUGAUCAACUGAUAGUUAUAAAACCCUUGAUGUUUGUCCUUGGUUGAAAGAGUCCCACAGAGACACGAACACAUUAGCAGCCAUGGGAUGAAACAUUAGUUACUACAGCCUCAAUUGUGGGAUUUUACAGCCUGGUUAAAGGACAUGGCUACUGAGUGAGCCCACCUGACAGAUCUAUUCAGUGUUCAUCUGUGGGCUGAGGAGGUGAGGACAAGCACUAGAGAAGGGGAAGAUUGGAGGCCUCAUCUCUGUCCACGUGCUGGAGCCCAGACCUGCCUUCUAGGGGAUGUUUGAGGCCUCAUCAGAGAAGAAAUACAUUACUGUGAAUUAAUGGGCUCUGAAACAUGGGGAACAACCUGUAAGAUCAGAAGAUCUUUGACUCCAGCAGUGACCUCCUCAUUCACUUUGAGAGGGAAACAACCAGCUCUCACAUUGAACAUGAUCUCUGUAAGAAGCUGUUAUUUGAG